GGCGGUGGAGAAGGAGUGACUGUGUUCUGCCUGGUGCAGGCGAUGAAGAGGAAGGGGAAUUGAAAACUCAUAGAGACGCCUACCUGAUUUGACCAGCAGAAGCUUGAGGCCAAAGAGUGACAGCGAAAGAGAGGCUGGGAGAGAGAAGCACUCUGGGGAGAAGCUCAGGAGUCUAGAUUCAGAGGCGUUUGCCUGUGUGGGUAACUGCCGGGUGGCUCAAGAAGAGAAAUCAGGACGAGGGGCGCUUGCUGACCUGGGGAAAGUGGACAGAAGAGCUCUGACACUUGGCAGGUGCUUUUGUUUAGGUGAUGAAAGAAAGGAAAAAGAAAGAGAAGUUGCCAGAGAGGUAGCACAGUACCCAUUUGCUGUUCCAAAGUGUAAGCUAGCUGCAGGAACAAAACCCCUAACUCAAGUUUACUUCUCACUCCAGUCCUAGCACAAUGUGGGUCAAUGAGAAGGCUCUGCUCCACGCAGUCACUCAGGGACCUAAGUUUCUUCCCACUGGAGACUCUACUACCUCUAAGCCUUAGGGAGGCCAUGGAACCCUCUACCCCUGGGCAGCAAAUGAGAGGAGAGAAAGAACUAGGAUUGUCCAGGAGGUUCCGUGGGCCAGGCCUGGAAGUAGCAAACCUCAUUUCUUCUAGAACCCAGUCUUGUGGCGGCCUCUGACUGCAAGAGGCUGGGAGAUACUGUCUAGAUGUGUUCUCUGGAGGAAAUAGUCUAGUGAACGGCGAUGUAGUCUCUUCCAAGAUACUUGAAAUAAUGUAAAUUUUAAAUCCUUGGGAAAACCUCCACAGGA
rnacentral:lncRNA from 1 species